rnacentral:rRNA from 1 species
GACGAACGCUGGCGGCGUGCUUAACACAUGCAAGUCGAACGGAGUGGCGAAUGGGUGAGUAACACGAGGGUGAUCUGCCUUGCACUUCGGGAUAAGCUUGGGAAACUGGGUCUAAUACCGGAUAGUGCAAGAUCAGCUCGCGGCCUAUCAGCUUGUUGGGGGGGUAAUGGCCUACCAAGGCGUCGACGGGUAGCCGGCCUGAGAGGGUAUACGGCGACCAUGUGCCUAAGGUACGGCCCAGUCUCCUACGUGAGGCAUCAGUGGGGAAUAUUGCACAAUGGGCGGGAGCGUGAUACAACGACGCCCCGUUGGUGAUGAAGGUUUUCGGGUUGUAAACUCCUGUCGACAAGGACGCGUUACCUGUAGAAGAAGCACCGGCUAACUCCGUGCCAGCAGCCGCGGUAAUUC